rnacentral:lncRNA from 1 species
GGGCAUUGACGUCGGCCCCGUACUCGAGGAGGCAAUUGGAGACGUCGAUCCAGCCGUGGAUGGAGGCGACGUGGAGCGGGGUGCGGUUGUCGUAGUCGCGGGCGUUGACGAGUCCCGGGUCCUCCUCCAGGAGCUUCCGCACAGCCGACACGUCGUUCUGGUGAGUGUGCCACAGGAUCAGCGACGUUCGGCUCACCCUCGCCUUCUCCCUCUGCUUCUCCGUCGACGACGUCCCCGACGACCCACCGCUCGUCUCCUCUCCUCCGCCGCCUCUCAUCUGUCUCCUUCUCUCUCGCAGAUCGGAUCGGUGCGAUGCUGGCUCCCGCUACUUUCUCAGCGUCACUGGCUCCUGAACCCUGAAGAUGCCCUGUUCGAAGAGUGAAAUAUCUUUUGCCGUUGCUUUGGUUGGGUCUAUACGAUGGUCGCUGUCUCGGGAGUCGGCCGAGUCGACCCGGCCGGCGGAUUAAGAUCCGCGAUCCAGUCCUCGUGCACAAGGUUUGCUCUGGACUCCUGACGCGUUCUUGCUACGAUUUUGGUGU